AGAGCGAACGCUGGCGGCAGGCUUAACACAUGCAAGUCGAGCGGGCGGUAGCGGAUAACGGUCAGCGGCAGACGGGUGAGUAACGCGUGGGAACAUACCUUUUGGUUCGGAACAACCCAGGGAAACUUGGGCUAAUACCGGAUAAGCCCUUACGGGGAAAGAUUUAUCGCCGAAAGAUUGGCCCGCGUCUGAUUAGCUAGUUGGUGAGGUAACGGCUCACCAAGGCGACGAUCAGUAGCUGGUCUGAGAGGAUGAUCAGCCACAUUGGGACUGAGACACGGCCCAAACUCCUACGGGAGGCAGCAGUGGGGAAUAUUGGACAAUGGGCGCAAGCCUGAUCCAGCCAUGCCGCGUGAGUGAUGAAGGCCCUAGGGUUGUAAAGCUCUUUUGUGCGGGAAGAUAAUGACGGUACCGCAAGAAUAAGCCCCGGCUAACUUCGUGCCAGCAGCCGC
rnacentral:rRNA from 1 species